UAAGGAAUAUUGCGCAAUGGGGGAAACCCUGACGCAGCAACGCCGCGUGGAGGAUGACACUUUUCGGAGCGUAAACUCCUUUUAUCAGGAAAGAAUAAUGACGGUACCUGAUGAAUAAGCACCGGCUAACUCCGUGCCAGCAGCCGCGGUAAUACGGGGGGUGCAAGCGUUACUCGGAAUCACUGGGCGUAAAGGACGCGUAGUCGGAUUAUCAAGUCUUUUGUGAAAUCUAGUGGCUUAACCACUAAACUGCUUAGGAAACUGAUAGUCUAGAGUAGGGGAGAGGUAGAUGGAAUUCUUGGUGUAGGGGUAAAAUCCGUAGAGAUCAAGAAGAAUACCCAUUGCGAAAGCGAUCUGCUGGAACCUAACUGACGCUGAGGCGUGAAAGCGUGGGUAGCAAACAGG
rnacentral:rRNA from 1 species